rnacentral:lncRNA from 1 species
UAUGAAUUAGAUUAUUUAAAAUAUUUAAAAAUAAAUCUCUCCCUUUCUUAUAUAAAGAGUGUUCUAUUUAAUUUUUUUUUUUUAUUAAAGCAAAGAUGAUUUAUAAAAGAAUUUUAUUCUUUUCUUUCUUGAUUCUAGUAUCGGAGCAAUAUAUAUAAAAGAAAAUAUUUCUUUCUCUUUUUUUUAUUUAUUUUGAUAUUAAGGUAAGAAUGAGACAAAUUGAGUAAGAAUCAAAAAUGGAUGCAUUGAAUCAAUUUAGUAUCAGUGUAAAAAUAAAAUUAAUAGAGCAUUUAAGAAAAAUAUAGGUUGAUUAAAGUAAUUUUUUAAAUAUUAUCAAAAUGAAGGUAAAUAAAUGAUGUAUCAGAGUUAAAAAAAAAAUGGACGAAUCAGUAUAGAGACUGCAUUAGAGCAAAUUUUUUUUUUAUUUUAAAUUUAAAAAGAGCAAGAGAUUUUAACAACUAUAUCAUUUUCACCAUUUACCAUUAUUUCUCCCUCUUUACCAUUAUUAUUAUUUAUUUAUCAUUAUUUUUCCUUUUUAUAACAAAUACACCACUUUCACCAUUUACCAUUAUUUCUCCUCCUUUUUGACAUCAUCAAAAAGAAAAACUAGGAGAAUAAUAUUUUCAUGGUGUUAAGUCAAGUAUCAAGGAAAUAGAGUAUCCAUUUAUCCAUCCAAAAAAAAAUGAUAAUAGACAUUCAUUCAUCCAAAAAGACAUGAUAAUAAACAUUCAUUCAUCCAAAGAGAAAUGAGUCAAAUGAAAACAACCUCAUUCAUUUACACCAAAAGAGAGGUUAUAAGAGUCAUAAUGAGCAUAAAGCUCUCAUAUAUCCAAUCUACAAAAUAUAACUAAGUAAUCUAAUAUAAAAUUAUAAAGUCAGAGAGAUUGGGCAUCGAGCACAGAAUCAAGAUAGAUAACGUAGGAUCAGCCUCAUCCUCGAUCGAAGGGUCUGGUCUGAGAUGAAGA